CAACCUGCCCACCACUUGGGGAUAACCUUGCGAAAGUAAGACUAAUACCCAAUGAUAUCUCUAGAAGACAUCUGAAAGAGAUUAAAGAUUUAUCGGUGAUGGAUGGGGAUGCGUCUGAUUAGCUUGUUGGCGGGGUAACGGCCCACCAAGGCAACGAUCAGUAGGGGUUCUGAGAGGAAGGUCCCCCACAUUGGAACUGAGACACGGUCCAAACUCCUACGGGAGGCAGCAGUGAGGAAUAUUGGUCAAUGGACGAGAGUCUGAACCAGCCAAGUAGCGUGCAGGAUGACGGCCCUAUGGGUUGUAAUCUGCUUUUAUAAGGGAAUAAAGUGAGUCUCGUGAGACUUUUUGCAUGUACCUUAUGAAUAAGGACCGGCUAAUUCCGUGCCAGCAGCCGCGGUAAUACGGAAGGUCCGGGUGUUAUCCGGAUUUAUUGGGUUUAAAGGGAGCGUAGGCCGGAGAUUAAGCGUGUUGUGAAAUGUAGACGCUCAACGUCUGCGCUGCAGCGCGAACUGGUUUCCUUGAGUACGCACAAAGUGGGCGGAAUUCGUGGUGUAGCGGUGAAAUGCUUAGAUAUCACGAAGAACUCCGAUUG
rnacentral:rRNA from 1 species